GAUGAACGCUGGCUACAGGCUUAACACAUGCAAGUCGAGGGGAAACGACGGGGAAGCUUGCUUCCCCGGGCGUCGACCGGCGCACGGGUGAGUAACGCGUAUCCAACCUGCCUCUGACUGAGGGAUAACUCGUCGAAAGUCGGCCUAAUACCCCAUGGCAUCGUCUGCGGGCAUCCAACGACGAUUAAAGAUUUCAUCGGUCAGGUCGGGGUAUGCGUUUGAUUAGCUUGUUGGCGAGGUAACGGCCCACCAAGGCUACGAUCAGUAGGGGUUCUGAGAGGAAGGUCCCCCACAUUGGAACUGAGACACGGACCAAACUCCUACGGGAGGCAGCAGUGAAGAAUAUUGGUCAAGGGGCGGGAGCCUGAACCAGCCAAGUAGCGUGCAGGAGGACGGCCCUAUGGGUUGUAAACUGCUUUUAGGCGGGGAUAAAGUGAGGGACGUGUCCUUCGUUGCAGGUACCGAAUGAAUAAGGACCGGCUAAUUCCGUG
rnacentral:rRNA from 1 species